UCCUGCACGAGCAAUGACUGCUCUCAUGGACAGUGGAGUCCAGAGCCGCCACGUCCAGGUGCGGAAGUGCGCGGCCCAACUCCUCCUGUCCUUGAUGGAGAAAACUGGAGUCACGAAGCUCGCAGGAACGCCCAGGGCUGAGAGGCUGGCGCACGCGGCAGGGACGCUUGCUCAGGACUGUCACGAGGACACAAGGCAUUAUGGACAGGAGAUGGUGAAAAUGAUGCUGAAUCACC